CCACUCGGGAGCUAAACUCCCACCUCCGCGUCUGACUUCAGACGCAGGGUGUGUGUCAGGGCCGCGAAUGGCAGCUCCUGAUUGGGCACGGCCCAGGUUCUUUGAACCCGUUCGCCCAAUUAUAGCUCUGCCCCUGGGGGGAGACAUAAAUGUCCCUAGGCCCUUGAAGGAGUGUGGCCCCACCAGCUGAGCAACAGCUUGCUUUUUGCUCUCUCUCCCUUUCUGAGGAAGUAGACAGGGAAAUGGGGGAGGGAAGGAUAGCAGAGGCCCAUCUUCCCAGGACCCACUUUAACCUUGCCAUGCCCCUGAACAGUGGGUUGCAUUAUAUGUCUAGUACACCUUUUGGGCAAACUAUGAUGAUGAUAAAAACAGAAAUUAUGAAAUAAAAAUAUGGUGAUAGUAAAAGCCAUACCUUGCAGGACUGUAAAGUUUAGUGAUAUUCAUUCAUUUUUAAAAAAAUGUAUAUCACAUUCUUCCUCUGAGAAGCCCAGAGCAGUAUUCAUGGGUAUGUUUAUCCUCACAACAACCCUGUGAGGUAGAAUUUGUCUUUUAAUCAUCAUUGCCAGUAGUGGAAUAAAUGAAGCAGGCAUCCCUCAGGCAAGCAUGAUGUAGUACGUUGAUUGAGCGGCACUGUUCUACUGACCUCCUGCCCGUCUGACCCAUAUUUGAUUUGACUGUUUGUUGUCUUAGUCAUAUGAGUUUGUCAUGCAGUGACUUAAAUUGCCAGGGUUCUUAUGAUUCUGGGAGCCAUCAAUAACUGUGGAGCACAAAGAAGCAGCACAGACUUAACUCAAAGGCAUCGCUUGUACAAAUGGAAUUUUGAAGAAUCUUACUAAAAAUCAUUGGCUCAUUUCA